AUUGAACGCUAGCGGGAUGCUUUACACAUGCAAGUCGAACGAGUGGGGACGGGUGAGUAACACGUGGGUAACCUCCCAUCAGAGGGGAUAACCCUUGGAAACAGGUGCUAAACCGAUACUGAUGGAUGGACCCGCGGUGCAUUAGCUCGUUGGUGAGGUAACCGCUCACCACGGCCAAGAUGCAUAGCCGACCUGAGAGGGUGUUCGGCCACACUGGUACUGGGACACGGCCCAGACUCCUACGGGAGUCAGCAGUAGGGAAGCUUCGGAAAUGGACGAAAGUCUGACCGAGCAACGCCGCGUGAGUGAAGAAGGUUUGCGGAUCGUAAAACUCUGUUGUUAGAGAAGCGGUAUCUAACCAGAAAGCCACGGCUAACUACGUGCCAGCCGCCGCGGUAAUAC
rnacentral:rRNA from 1 species